AUCUAAAUAGUUUAAGUUAAAAUGUUGGUUUGUGGUGCCGAUGAUAUAGUUUUUUAUUUUGGAUU
rnacentral:tRNA from 2 species